rnacentral:rRNA from 1 species
UGGGCGCAAGCCUGAACGAGCAAUGCCGCGUGAACGAGGAAGGUCUUCGGAUCGUAAAGUUCUGUUGAAGGGGAAAAAGAGCGGAGAGAGGAAAUGGUCUCCGAUUGAUAUUACCCUUCGAGGAAGUCACGGCUAACUACGUGCCAGCAGCCGCGGUAAUACGUAGGUGGCGAGCGUUAUCCGGAAUGAUUGGGCGUAAAGGGUGCGUAGGCGGCCUGCUAAGUCUGGAGUGAAAGGUACCGGCUCAACCGGUACAGGCUCUGGAAACUGGCGGGCUAGAGAGCAGGAGAGGGCGGUGGAACUCCAUGUGUAGCGGUAAAAUGCGUACAUAUAUGGAAGAACACCAGUGGCGAGGGCGGCCGCCUGGCCUGUUACUGAC